rnacentral:rRNA from 1 species
GUGGGGAAUCUUGCGCAAUGGGCGAAAGCCUGACGCAGCCAUGCCGCGUGAAUGAUGAAGGUCUUAGGAUUGUAAAAUUCUUUCACCGGGGACGAUAAUGACGGUACCCGGAGAAGAAGCCCCGGCUAACUUCGUGCCAGCAGCCGCGGUAAUACGAAGGGGGCUAGCGUUGCUCGGAAUUACUGGGCGUAAAGGGCGCGUAGGCGGAUCGUUAAGUCAGGGGUGAAAUCCCAGAGCUCAACUCUGGAACUGCCCUUGAUACUGGCGAUCUUGAGUGUGAGAGAGGUAUGUGGAACUCCGAGUGUAGAGGUGAAAUUCGUAGAUAUUCGGAAGAACACCAGUGGCGAAGGCGACAUACUGGCUCAUUACUGACGCUGAGGCGCGAAAGCGUGGGGAGCAAACAGGAUUAGAAACCCGGGUAGUCC